UACGUAGGGCGCAAGCGUUGUCCGGAUUUAUUGGGCGUAAAGAGCUCGUAGGCGGCUUGUCGCGUCGACUGUGAAAACCCGUGGCUCAACCAUGUGGUCUGCAGUCGAUACGGGCAGGCUAGAAUUCGGUAGGGGAGACUGGAAUUCCUGGUGUAGCGGUGAGAUGCGCAGAUAUCAGGAGGAACACCGGUGGCGAAGGCGGGUCUCUGGGCCGAUACUGACGCUGAGGAGCGAAAGCGUGGGGAGCGAACAGG
rnacentral:rRNA from 1 species